rnacentral:rRNA from 1 species
ACUAGUGAUUUCCGUAGGUGAACCUGCGGAAGGAUCAUUCGCACAAAAUGUUCUUACUACACGCCACACAUCAUAUUGAUACCCCUGUCAUCAAAAAGGAUUUCUUAUCCGACUCAUCGAUGUUGCAAUCUCAUUGUAGCGCUUACAAUGUUACCUAUCUCUUGCAACGACGAAUGCCUUGGCUCGAGGAUCGUUGAAGGACGCAGCGAACUGUGUUACACAUCUCGAAUUGCAGAUUUCCGAGAAAGAUAAGGAUUCUGAACGCAUUCUGCGAGUUGGUUCGCCAACUCACGUAGCAGGCGGUGAUCGCAAUAUGCAGUCGUUCAAACUCUGAAGUUUGAAUGGUUAUCUCAUGUUGUCGCCAGUGUUGGCGCCGACGUGAUCGUUGAAGUCAGCGUGCCUCUCGUUGCGAGCACAAGUUGCGACUUUGUUCAAAACUGUUUUCGUUUCGAUUGGUAAGCAUACUUUUGAAAAAUCAAAAGUUUUUUUUCGCACGCUCACGACCUGUUACGGGAUUACCCGCUGAAUUUAAGCAUAUCAA